GUGAUACGAAAUAUAUAUGCCUUCUAUUCACUGUGCCAUCUUGUGUAGUAGAUGAUCAGAGGGGAAAAGAAGAGCUAGAUUGAUAUUCGCAAACGUCCUCAUACUGAAUAGGGUAAUUAACUUUUUUGGAGGCUCUAAUUGGUAACUGCGUGAGCGAUACAUUC
rnacentral:snoRNA from 1 species